rnacentral:other from 1 species
CUCCUGCGGUGUUCGUCAGUGUGCCGGGUUACCUCCUGAGCCAAUGCACCACACCGGGGAGGGUUGGUCGCUCGUGGUGAGCACGUCCACUUCGGUGGAAAGCCUAAGCGGGUGAUCCGAAUCCCCACCUGAGAUCAUGUCUCAGGGUCAAUGGCACGCAACGGCACAGGCGGGAG